rnacentral:rRNA from 1 species
GAUGAACGCUGGCGGCGUGCCUAAUACAUGCAAGUCGAGCGAACAGACGAGGAGCUUGCUCCUCUGACGUUAGCGGCGGACGGGUGAGUAACACGUGGAUAACCUACCUAUAAGACUCGGAUAACUUCGGGAAACCGGAGCUAAUACCGGAUAACAUGUUGAACCGCAUGGUUUAACAGUGAAAGACGGUCUUGCUGUCACUUAUAGAUGGAUCCGCGCCGCAUUAGCUAGUUGGUAAGGUAACGGCUUACCAAGGCAACGAUGCGUAGCCGACCUGAGAGGGUGAUCGGCCACACUGGAACUGAGACACGGUCCAGACUCCUACGGGAGGCAGCAGUAGGGAAUCUUUCGCAAUGGGCGAAAGCCUGACGGAGCAACGCCGCGUGAGUGAAGAAGGUCUUCGGAUCGUAAAACUCUGUUAUUAGGGAAGAACAAAUGUGUAAGUAACUAUGCACGUCUUGACGGUACCUAAUCAGAAAGCCACGGCUAACUACGUG